CCCUUAGAUGUCCUGGGCUGCACGCGUGCUACAAUGAUACGUGCAACGAGUUAAUCCUGCUCUGAAAGGAGUGGGUAAUCUUAUGAAUGCGUAUCGUGCUUGGGAUUGACCAUUGUAAUUAUUGGUCAUGAACGAGGAAUUCCUAGUAAGCACAAGUCAUCAGCUUGUGCUGAUUACGUCCCUGCCCUUUGUACACACCGCCCGUCGCUCCUACCGAUUGAGUGUUCCGGUGAACAAUUUGGACUGCUUUGAUUCGAUUAGAAUUUGAAGCGGAAAGUUUAGUGAACCUUAUCACUUAGAGGAAGGAGAAGUCGUAACA
rnacentral:rRNA from 1 species